rnacentral:rRNA from 1 species
ACGAACGCUGGCGGCGUGCUUAACACAUGCAAGUCGAACGGAAAGGCCCCUUUGGGGGUACUCGAGUGGCGACCGGGUGAGUAACACGUGAGUAACCUGCCCUUGACUUCGGGAUAACUUCAGGAAACUGGGGCUAAUACCGGAUAGGAAUCCUUGCUGCAUGGUGGGGGUUGGAAAGUUUCGGCGGUUUUGGAUGGACUCGCGGCUUAUCAGCUUGUUGGUGGGGUAGUGGCUUACCAAGGCUUUGACGGGUAGCCGGCCUGAGAGGGCGACCGGCCACAUUGGGACUGAGAUAAGGCCCAGACGCCUACGGGAGGCAGCAGUGGGGAAUAUUGCACAAUGGGCGGAAGCCUGAUGCAGCAACGCCGCGUGCGGGAUGACGGCCUUCGGGUUGGAAACCGCUUUCAGCAGGGGCGAAGCUUGUGGUGACGGUACCUGCAGAAGAAGCACCGGCUAACUACGUG